rnacentral:tRNA from 1 species
UGGCAUGUAGCUCAAUGACAGAGCAUUUGCCUAGCAUGCCAAAGGCCUUGGGUUCUAUUCCCAUCACUUCAA